GCUGGCGGCAGGCCUAACACAUGCAAGUCGAGCGGUAGAGAGAAGCUUGCUUCUCUUGAGAGCGGCGGACGGGUGAGUAAAGCCUAGGAAUCUGCCUGGUAGUGGGGGAUAACGUUCGGAAACGGACGCUAAUACCGCAUACGUCCUACGGGAGAAAGCAGGGGACCUUCGGGCCUUGCGCUAUCAAAUGAGCCUAGGUCGGAUUAGCUAGUUGGUGAGGUAAUGGCUCACCAAGGCGACAAUCCGUAACUGGUCUGAGAGGAUGAUCAGUCACACUGGAACUGAGACACGGUCCAAACUCCUACGGGAGGCAGCAGUGGGGAAUAUUGGACAAUGGGCGAAAGCCUGAUCCAGCCAUGCCGCGUGUGUGAAGAAGGUCUUCGGAUUGUAAAGCACUUUAAGUUGGGAGGAAGGGCAUUAACCUAAUACGUUAGUGUUUUGACGUUACCGACAGAAUAAGCACCGGCUAACUCUGUGCCAGCAGCCGCGGUAAUACAGAGGGUGCAAGCGUUAAUCGGAAUUACUGGGCGUAAAGCGCGCGUAGGUGGUUUGUUAAGUUGGAUGUGAAAUCCCCGGGCUCAACCUGGGAACUGCAUUCCAAACUGACUGACUAGAGUAUGGUAGAGGGUGGUGGAAUUUCCUGUGUAGCGGGUGAAAUGCGUAGAUAUAGGAAGGGAACACCAGUGGGCGAAGGCGACCACCUGGACUAAUACUGACACUGAGGUGCGAAAGCGUGGGGGAGCAAACAGGAUUAGAUACCCUGGUAGUCCACGCCGUAAACGAUGUCACUAGCC
rnacentral:rRNA from 1 species